rnacentral:lncRNA from 1 species
UUGAAUUGUUGUUUGAAAUUUCUUCAAGGGCCGUCGAGGCUUGAUCUUGAAGGUUGAAAUUGGACCACAAGGAGCUUCAUGUGGUAGAUGAUCUUUGGCUUUGGUAGUGGGUGAAUCGACACGUAUUUCGUUGCGCUUUGUUGACUUUCCACAGCUUUGAUCUUGAACUGGGUUGAAGGAUUUUCUAGAUUCCUCCAAUUGUUAAUUUUCCACAGCUUAUUCUUGAACUAGGUUUUGAUUCAAGGGUGGUAGACACUUAAUCUUGAAUCGGACUUGUGAUUUCUUCCAGGGCUGUCGAGGCUUGAUUUUGAAUUUGGCUGGAAGCUUCUUCAAGGGCCGUUAAGGCUUGAAUCUUGAAGGCUGACUCGAACAUACGGCAAGCAGGCACGAGGUGAAGGUGACGACUUGUUGCUUUGUUCAAUCUUUCUAAUUCACACCUGAGUAGUUUGGUCAACGGUAUGAUCUUCGAGAUUGACGGGCUCCUCUUCCAAUUGGUGACUUGGUCUUUAAGGAUUUGAUUCAAGGGUGGUGAAUCGGCACGUGCAGCCCACAACGCCUAGUAAGUCGACCCAAGAAUUUGAGGGUCAAAAUAAGUUCACCGUCCUCAGGCAGAUGUGGCAUCUUCUCGAGUUCCUCAGUUCGGACUCCUUCUGCUGAGUUGAUCGUGCAGACCGCAUUCUUCUCUGCUUGUU